CCGGAGGCUGCAGUACCGCACUUCUGGGACCGCAUUUCUAGGACCCUUGAUUUUCGCGACAGCGCGACCUAUCGUUACGGAAUUGGAUAACCACUGACCGCAUUUCUGAGCGGAAAGAUGGAUGAUAUGAGUUGAGGAACAGCAGGACACACUGUACGCCUAUUUGAAGGAAACUCCUGCAAAUGACACUAACGCAGUGGAGCUACUCAGAUGAAGUGCAGUUCAUGUUUAGAGUUCUGAUUCCAGAGGCCAUCAUAUAUGGCCUGUCAGUGCUGCAGAAUGUGUCUGUACAGGAGGCUGAGCAGGUCUUCCUCUCUGGGCCACAAUCAGAGUUAAGUGGAGGAAUUUAGUUGAGGUAUACACAAACACUUAAUGAAAGAAAGGGGAACAUUGAAGAGGAAACCAUAGAGGCAGCUGCGCAGUUCCAUGGGUUCCCAUGGGUUCUUGGACCUCGUGACAUAAACAAUUCAGUUUUCUUUGUGUUUUUUGUGACUUGUAACUACUGAUCCUGAUUCAUUUCUUACACUACUGAACUGCUAUCCCACCUCUCCAUUCGAUUGCACACACUUGCUAGGUUUCAUUUUACUCAGUAAGAUGGGGGUGAUUAAGGCGAAAUGGCCACGUGUCUGUUUAACAGUUGAAUUGCAGGUCAUGUGUUUGCCUGAUAAAUAAGGGCUGAUGUAAUUAGCGUGUGUUUGGUUGAGAAGUUGCGUUGUUAGACAGUCAAUGUUAUUCUAUUUUUGUGGUAAUACUGAAGCAAUAUAAAUCCUUAAUGUUGAGGGAUUACGAAUGGAAGCCUCACCUGUACAGCCAACUCUGAUUGGCUUCCAGAGGACCCCUGAGUCACUCGCCCUGGUGUGUGUGUGUGUGUGUGUGUG